GAAACAUGAUCUACUUAAUAUCUUAAUGAUUUUUGGUAUAGAAGAAAAAUCUGUAAUUUUGACCCGUACAAUUGCUACAAAUACACCUGUGCUACUUAUGACUGGUUUUGUGGUCCAGGGUCACAAUGCAAAGUGAUAUAUAGACUACAACAAAUUAAUGUAGUUUAGGUGUUUGUUGCCUUCUGGGAAUGUAAGAUCAGUUACCCGUUACAUUACUUGAAUACCACUUUGAAAUUCAACACUGUAUUGUGACUCUCAUAAACAUAGGCUGCCAGUGCAAUACAAUAGUGUAUUCAAUUUAAUGGAGAUCUGAGCUCCACCAUGUAGAUAGCUACUCAUGUCUGUUUUUGAUGUAAACACAUCCACAACAAAAACACAGACCAGUUUUCCCAGAUGUACACAUGAGUUAAACACUGAUUUCUUACAAAACAUAAAUGCCUGCAAAAAAAAAAAAAAAGAUUCUCUCUUUUUGUAAUAGCAAAAUUAUCUACACACUUUUAUGUGCUCAUUAGAAAGAAUCUCUUUGUGAUGUCAGUACAGUCAUUUUACACACAAUGAGAGUGUAAGUAAUUCUAUCACCUCCCAUUGUCACCCUUGGGUCCGGUCCUAUCAGAACCAUCUGUCUAGUUCAGAUAACAAUAGUUGUGAUAUUCAAAACCGCCUUGUGUCAAAGAACCGCCCCACAGUCCAGAUGAGCUGAGCUGAUGUGAGCGCGAGGCAGAGAUACUGAAUAGUUGAUGAGACAAUAUAGUUUGACAGAGGGGAAAGAAUGGAAAGACUGGAACUUAUCUCUUUCUACAUUCUGGACCGAGCCAGAGAACUGUGAUGGAAAAUUACUCUGUGACUGUGCAUGUGCGUGCGUGAGAGAGAGAGAGAGAGAGAGAGAGAGAGAGAGAGAGAAAGGGAGCGAGCGGGAAGGCGAAAAGAAGAAAAGUGGAUGAAAUGGUCAGCAUAAAAGAAAGUCCAGAAAUAAAGUUGUCACAGAGGCUCGGUGAGAGAUGUUAGAGGAGCUUCGGUGAUCAUAGUGCUUAGUCAGGGCCUGGAAAUGCAGCGUUUCGCACCUGAGAAUCUCAGGCGCUUCAGUUGGAACGGGUGGAAAAACCUCCUGCUGCCGCAAUUGAACAGACGCUCGCUGUUUGUCUACGGCAGUGAGGUGGCGGUAGAGAAGGAGUGUAUUAGACAGAAAGAGGGAGGCGUAAUUGUCAUCCAUCCCUUCAGUCGUAUAAGGAGUUACUACAUCAUGUGUAUGAUGGCCAUAACAUUUCUGAAUCUAAUUGGGAUCCCAAUGGAGAUUGCCUUUCUAGAUGGGAACAGUGGAGUAGGUUGGGAGGGUUUUAACGUGUUCUCGGACACUCUGUUCCUGAUUGACGUUGGGCUUAACUUUCGCAUGGGGAUCAUUACUGAGGACAGCGAGGGAGCCAUUAUGGAUUUGAAAAGCAUUCGACAACGGUAUUUAAAGAGCUGGUUUAUACCUGAUAUGGUGGCAGCAUUCCCAGUUGGUUAUAUCCUGCUUAUUGCGGACCUACAAUACCACAGUGAUACUCCCUCAUCCAGAGCCAGCAAAAUGAUGCGCAUCUUAAUGUUUGUGAGAAUCCUCAGUCUUGUCCGCCUGCUGCGUGUGUCAAGGCUUGUUAGGUUUUUCAAUGAGGUGGAGAGAGUUUCAAAUGCCAACUUGGAGGUGGUGAGGGUAUUCCUAAGAAUCUUGUCAUUAUUUAUGAUGAUUUUCCUGCUGUGCCACUGGAAUGGCUGUAUUCAGUAUUUCGUACCAAUGCUUGAGGAAUUUCCCUCAGACUGCUGGGUUAGAAGAGAGAAUCUAAUGAAUGCCACAGUGGGAGAGAAGUACUCCUUUGGAGUUUUUCGGGCCCUCUCUCAUAUGACUGCAAUAUCAUAUGGUUCCUCUGAAACACCCACAAGCAAGGAAUGAUGUUGAGCUGUGGAUUGUCAUGACUAGCAUCGUGUCUGGAGCCAUCAUGUACACAGUGAUGGUUGCUAACACUGCUGCAAUGAUGUCUGAUGUGGACAUAACAGCAAGAGCGUACAAGAACAAGAUAAAUCAUCUGGAAGAUUAUAUGACUUUCAUGAAGCUUCCCAAAGCCCUUCGUAUGCGCAUCAACAACUACUAUCAAGCUCGUUAUGCUGGGAAAUGGUAUGAUGAGAAGGAUGUCCUGAAGUGGGUGUCCUCAUCUUUAAGAGAGGAAAUUCUGCUGACCAUGUGCUCUGCCCAUGUGAGAAAAGUUCCCAUUUUCCGGAACUGUGACAUAAACUUCAUCAAUGCCAUUCUUCUGGAGCUGCAGUAUGAGGUCUUCCAGGCAGGUGACAUCAUCUUCCAGCAGAACGCUCCUGGUGACCGCAUGUUCUUCAUCGAGCACGGCCAGGUCCUUGUGGAGAAUGAGUUUGUCCAGAAAGAACUGUGUGAUGGAGACUACUUUGGAGACUCGUGUCUCCUAACAAGAGGAAAGCGCUUGGCCACAGUACAAGCCGUGACUGUCUGUCAGCUCUUUUCCUUGUCAGUGGACACCUUUCAUUGUGUUCUGGAGGACUAUCCAGACAUCAAGAGAGACCUGGAGACAUCUCAACAGGAUAAAGACAUUUUGUUAUGUUGAGAAAAUGCCUACACCUGCAUCAAACCCUCCUGCAGCUUCCUCAGCAUGAUAUUUGCCAGACUGAGCUUUGCAUUCUUUGGAUCUUCCUCUGUAUCGGCAUAGAUUAUUCUAUUCCAGCUGGUGGAUGUGGGCUUAAGCAACCCCGCGACCCUACAUAGGACAAGCAUUUUGGAAAAUAGGCUUUGUCCAGUUAAUAAGGUGUAACUCGGCAUCAUGCAACCACACUGGAAUGCAGUUUCUCUGAGAAUACUGAUAGGAUUAUAUUAGUUUGUAGGCCUUCUUCUCCAUCUCCUCCAUUUCCUCCUGGCUUCUGCUGCCAUACUACUUUCCAAGUGCCCACAGGAGGAUGCACCAUCACAGCUAAGCAUUGCCAGUCACAAUUUCGCUCCGUUUCCAGGAUCUUUGCCACUUGCUCUUCUAGGUUUCUGCUUCUCCACACCCCCAUGAUCUGCCUCUUUACGUCUUCCUCCGCCUGUUCUCUGAGGUAUCCAGAACAGCACAUCAGCAGCCACCGGUGACCUUUAUUUUCAGUCAGAUUAGCUUUCAGCUACUAAUGUAGUACACUCAGCUAAUUUUUACAUUUAAAUGUCCCACAAAAGUCAUCCGAUUUUUCCCAAAAAUCAGUGCAGAUGAUGCACAAAUUCGGUCAGGGCCUAGAAAUAACCCACCAUUUUACCUUUUUAAAAAAAUGUUAUUUUAGGGGGGGAGGGUAAGAUUUGCUGAAUGUUUUAUAAAAUAAUCCAAAAAUGUGAAAAUUGUAGCUCUGGUUCCUUUUAUAAAAGUUUAUAAAUGUCAUAUUUUAAAAAGAUAUAAACAGAGAACUCUGUCAUUGCAUUUUUUCCCUUGUUUUUUUCUGAAAACUUUUUGUGAAGAACACAUUAUAUUUUUACUUCUCUUAAAACAAAAAUGCACGGUUCUUUAUUUUCAAGAGUAGUAUGUUACCAUGUUUAAAUUACGCCUGUAAAUCAACACGGAUAGCAGUUUGAUAAUAGUGAUUCCCUUUAGCAUACCAUGAGUUAGUAUAUGCAUUCAGAAAUCUCUGUGGGCCUUCAAAGAGAAAGUUUCAUUAGUCACAUAUGUAUAUAAGUUACUCCUGUACAUGCAGAUUUAGAGAAACAAGUAUUAAAGUUUAGAAGUCUCUCUUCUGUCAAGAACAUAUAAAACAUGAAUUAAUAAAGAAAAUAAAGACUUUUUAAAACAUGA